GACGAACGCUGGCGGCGUGCUUAACACAUGCAAGUCGAACGAAGUGGCGAACGGGUGAGUAACGCGUAAUCAACCUGCCCUUCCGAGGGGGACAACAGUUGGAAACGACUGCUAAUACCGCAUACUGAAGGAGGGGAUUGCGUCUGAUUAGCUAGUUGGAGGGGUAACGGCCCACCAAGGCGAUGAUCAGUAGGCGGGCUGAGAGGAAGAACGGCCAAAUUGGGAAUGAGAAACGGCCCAGACUCCUACGGGAGGAAGCAGUGGGGAAUCUUCCGCAAUGGAAGAAAGUCUGAAGGAGCAACGCCGCGGGAGUGAUGAAGGCCUUCGGGUUGUAAAGCGCUGUUAAUCGGGACGCGGUACCGGAAUAGAAAGCCACGGCUAAAUACGUGCCAGCAGCCGCGGUAAAAUC
rnacentral:rRNA from 1 species